CAGGACGGUGGUCAUGGAAGU
rnacentral:siRNA from 1 species